rnacentral:rRNA from 1 species
GAUGAACGCUGGCGGCGUGCUUAACACAUGCAAGUCGAACGGGAAACCUUUUAUUGAAGCUUCGGCAGCUUUAGCUGGUUUCUAGUGGCGGACGGGUGAGUAACGCGUGGGUAACCUGCCUUAUACAGGGGGAUAACAGUCAGAAAUGGCUGCUAAUACCGCAUAAGCGCACAGAGCUGCAUGGCUCAGUGUGAAAAACUCCGGUGGUAUAAGAUGGACCCGCGUUGGAUUAGCUGGUUGGUGGGGUAACGGCCCACCAAGGCGACGAUCCAUAGCCGGCCUGAGGGGGUGAACGGCAACAUUGGGACUGAGACACGGCCCAGACUCCUACGGGAGGAAGCAGUGGGGAAUAUGGCACAAUGGGGAAACCCUGAUGCAGCGACGCCGCGUGAAGGAAGAAGUAUCUCGGUAUGUAAACUUCUAUCAGCAGGGAAGAUAAUGACGGUACCUGACUAAGAAGCCCCGGCUAACUACGUG